rnacentral:rRNA from 1 species
ACGACUCUCGGCAAUGGAUAUCUCGGCUCACGCAUCGAUGAAGAGCGCAGCGAAAUGCGAUACGUGGUGCGAAUUGCAGAAUCCCGUGAACCAUCGAGUCUUUGAACGCAAGUUGCGCCCGAGGCCAACCGGCCAAGGGCACGUCUUCCUGGGCGUCAAGCGUU